rnacentral:rRNA from 1 species
GACGUAGGAGGCGAGCGUUAUCCGGAUUCACUGGGCGUAAAGCGCAUGUAGGCGGAUGUCUAAGUCGUGUGUUAAAGCCCCUGGCUCAACUGGGGGAGGUCAUGCGAGACUGGAUGACUUGAGGGCAACAGAGGCACGUGGAACUCCCGGUGUAGCGGUGGAAUGCGUAGAGAUCGGGAAGAACACCCGUGGCGAAGGCGGUUCUCUGGGCCUUACCUGACGCUGAGGAGCGAAAGCGUGGGGAGCGAACAGG